rfam:Symbiodinium microadriaticum strain CCMP2467 Smic.scaffold1686, whole genome shotgun sequence.
GCCUCUUUAGCUUAGUUGGUAGAGCACCCGCUCAGUAAGCGGGAGGUCGUGGGUUCGAAUCCCACAGGAGGCU